AUUGAACGCUGGCGGUAGGCUUAACACAUGCAAGUCGAGCGGUAACAGGAGUAGCUUGCUACUCGCUGACGAGCGGCGGACGGGUGAGUAACGCGUAGGAAUCUACCUGAUAGGUUGGGAUAGCCCAGGGAAACUUGGAUUAAUACCGAAUACGCUCUACGGAGGAAAGGAGGGGAUCUUCGGACCUCGUGCUAUUAGAUGAGUCUGCGUCGGAUUAGCUUGUUGGUGAGGUAAUGGCUCACCAAGGCGACGAUCCGUAGCUGGUCUGAGAGGAUGAUCAGCCACACUGGAACUGAGACACGGUCCAG
rnacentral:rRNA from 1 species